GCCGGGCGUGGUGGCGUGUGCCUGUAGUCCCAGCUACUCAGGAGGCUGAGGCUGGAGGAUUGCUUGAGCCCAGGAGUUCUGGGCUGUAGUGCGCUAUGCCGAUCGGGUGUCCACACUAAGUUCAGCAUCAAUAUGGUGACCUCCUGGGAGCAGGGGACCAUCAGGUUGCCUAAGGAGGGGUGAACCGGCCCAGGUCGGAAACGAAGCAGGUCAAAACUCCCGUGCUGAUCAGUAGUGGGAUCGCACCUGUGAAUAGCCACUGCACUCCAGCCUGGGCAGCAUAGUGAGACCCCAUCUCU
rnacentral:SRP_RNA from 1 species